AUCGCUUCUCGGCCUUUUGGCUAAGAUCAAGUGUAGUAAGUUUACUUUUCCACAGGGGAGAAAUGGGGGCUAAAAGAACUAUGGAAAAUUGCUUUGUAAUUUAUGCAUAUACAACAAGCUGUUAAGGUCAUGGAUGUAAUUUUCAAGGACCUUAAUCCCCAG
ensembl:snRNA LOC120102755 U2 spliceosomal RNA